rnacentral:lncRNA from 1 species
AAAAAAAAGGAGUACAAAAGCCAUCUUUUGGUUCGUUGUUCUUGUGGUUUUGAAGUUUUACAAAUAAGAGAAUGUAAUCGCUGUAUCUUGGUUGUUGAUUAUCAUUAUCCGUAGGCACCUUUGCAAGGCAAAACCAACUUGAGGACAAAGAGUUUAACUCUUAUCUCGGACUUGCAUCCAUUUUACUUGGCCUUACUUCCCCCAAUUUUGGUAAGGUUGGUAAGUUUAAAUUUUGUUAAAGAGAUCACUCAAAUCUAUUUUUCAACAACAACAAUCACUCCUGCUUUUCCCAUGUCACAGGUCCUCCCAACUGGUUGAGGUGUCAAAUGGUAGAGCCGGCCAUCGUUUUUAACACCUCCAGAUAAGGGUGUAAAGUGGUUUGAGCCCCUCACUGGUUCGAUUUGCCCCAUAUACGAGUUGAGCGGCUCAAGUGAGAGCUCAAGCACUCAAUUCGUGUUCGAGCCAAUUGCAAGCCACUGUAAAAAAUGCAUGGUUGAAAAUUCAAAAUUUAAUUUUUCCCCCCUAUAUUUAAGAAUUUUUUUUUUUUUUUUCGCAUUGAGAUUUUGCUCGUUGCCAUCUCCUUCAAUUUUUAACAUCCCUGCCUCUAGUCUAGACUUGUAGUGAUAAGAGCCUAUAGUUCUCCCAUAUCAUGGAAUUCGGAGCAAUAUACAAACAGAAAUGUCCAAGAAUUGGAAAAACAGGUAUCAUGGCGAUCAAAAUUUAGAGCAUGUAAAUCGAAUUGGAGCCUGACAGGAAAUUUUAUGCUGUCGAGCAUAUAGUCAAGUUAGUAGCUCCAAUAUCAGCCCCACAAUCCAAGAGUAUAACCUCCUUCGUACACUCGAAUAUGAAUAAUUUGAUGUUAACAGGAAUUCACGCUGUCUCAGAAUAUAUAGACAGGUCAGGUAUUAUCUGCCCUUCUGCGCCUCCACAGUAAAAAGUUUGUGCUCAAAGAUAAUAUGCUUAGGAAUAUGUUAGUUAAUUCUAAAUGCUGUGAAAUUAGCAGAAUUUGGGUUUUCGUGGUUCUUCAUGAAUCCGGCUAGUUUGCUUGUGUUAGUCCCAAGGUAAUUACUUAUAAUUUAUAUCAUAAUUACAUGUAUGAUGGAUUUUCGUGGAUAUUUGGAGUCUAGGCUUAAGCAUUCUUGAGCUUACUUGGGUAGUAGAUAUCCACAUAAUUCCCAGUCAGCAUUUCUAACUCUUUUUAAAUUUUUUUGCAUUUUCUAGCCUAUUUUUCAAAAUCUAGCUCUGUUGAAUUAUCAUUAAGGAUGUUUAAAUUUAUCGUUUCGGCUUAUAUACAUGGUCAAAUGAUGCUUCUUUAUACAACUAAUACUGGAUCUUAUUGGUAAGUUGAUGGCUUGGCGUUGGAACUGGAUUUCAAAUGUCAGAAAAAUAGGACGCAAGCUGAAAAUUUAGAGGCACUGAUAUGCUUCCAUUUUUCCAUAUUAUUCAAGUCGUGUCUAAGAUAAAACUCAUAGUAUAAAGGAGUAGUUUUGAUGCUGCAUCUCUAAAAGUGGGACAUGAUUCCCUUCCAGUUCUGCCUUAAGCAAUACAUACAGAAUAAGUCGCAUGCUUCAUGUAUUGCAACCACAAUUCAAAUAAAAAUGUCAUGAAAAUCAAAUUAAAGUGCCUGAAUGCUUUUGGCUUAUUGCUGGCUUUGUAUUGACUACCUCAGGGAUUAAUUAUGCAUGCCAUAGCCGUCAGCACCUGUAGGAAAGCCAUACAAGAAUCAUCAAAUAAGGUCAUGUUUACUUGUCUGUUUGUAUGUAAAAUUUGUUGUAUAAAAUAUCUGUGCAUAUUGACGGUUAAUCUGGCAUCAAAACAUAUGCCCCAUGUCAUGCAGCAUUCAAUAUACUAAAAUGCGAAUCUAACUUAGUGGAGGAAUGCCUUGUCUCGGUGUGUGGAAGCGAUGGUGGAACUUGGAAUAGACAUAUACCAUACCUCAUGCAUUGACAUUCUCAACUUGGGAUCGCAGUCGAGACAUUGCUCUGCCAGACGAACCAUCCAAAACAACUGGUAAAGGUCAACAGAAUCUUGCACUGCAGGAUCUAUCAGUUCCAUGUACUUUUUCUCACUCAGGAUUGGUCUCGCCUGAGGAAAAAAACAGAGAUCCAUUGGGGCCCAAUGACUUGAAGAUAGAUUUCGUCCAAAGUAAAGAUUUUAGAUUAAGGAUCUUCAAAAUAAGAAUGCUGUAGUUAUUACCCAUCUCAAGAAGCUUUGCCCCUUUGUAUCUUCAAGAGUCUUUCGGCCAGUAAUCAGCUCGAGAAGAACAAUCCCAAAGGAAUAGACAUCUGCUUUGCUCAUGUCUAUUCCGCUUUGUGCAUAUUCUGGUGCUAAGUAUUCAAAUGUCCUCAGUGCCAUGGUGUUGGAGGACUGACCUAAGGCCUCAUAUUGAUUUUUAGCAAGACCAUAAUAUGAAAGAUGGUAAAGAUGGUAAGUGGCACAAGUGAUGUAUUCAUUUGCCUUCUAGCCAUAUAAAUAUACCCAAAGCAAACAACAAAUUAAUCUUACUAGUGGCUGAUAAUCAUGGGUGACGAGUAUGUUGCUUGGCCUCAUGCUUCCAUAAAUCCUUUCUCUAUGCAGAUAUUCUAAACCUUUAGCUGCUCCAUAUGCAAUAUUAAUUCUUGUUUCCCAUGUUAAUUUGCUGCUUUUUUCUGCAGAAACAAAUUGUCCCACUAUUACCACAGAAAAAAUAGUUAUAUUAGAGAAGAAAAUUUUAUUUUCUAAGCCAUAUGCAUUUACCUGACAGAUAUUUGUUCAGAGAACCAUUGCACACAUACUCAUAGACAAGAAGCCUGUGUGGUCCUUCUGAACAUGAACCUAAGAAUAUGGCCACAUUCUCAUGUUUGACUUUCCCAAGAAUGU